GACGGAAGGUGCAAGCGUUGCUCGGAAUCACUGGGCGUAAAGGGCGCGUAGGCGGCCUGAUAAGUAGGGGGUGAAAUCCUGCGGCUUAACCGCAGGGCUGCCUUCUAAACUGUCGGGCUCGAGCACAGUAGAGGCAGGUGGAAUUCCCGGUGUAGCGGUGGAAUGCGUAGAUAUCAGGAGGAACACCGAUGGCGAAGGCAGGUCUCUGGGCAUUAACUGACGCUGAGGAGCGAAAGCAUGGGGAGCGAACAGG
rnacentral:rRNA from 1 species